CUUCUAAAUCAAAAUUCCAGUGAAUUGUUACAUGCAGGAGUUUGCUGCAAUAAGCAGAAGAAGUCAUGUGGCAGUCUUAUGGGGGACAUGGAAGGUGCCUCCUUGAAGAAUGCCUCGUGCAGCAUUCAGGCGUCCCCUGGAAACGGCGUAUUGCCGGCUGAACCCUUCCAAGUCAAGAAUACCACCACCAUGUGAUGUGUGUCUUCUUAUUACUCUUCUGGAUGGUGGGCCUCUCAUCGUGCUACAUGUUGUUCUUGAGUUUUGAAGCUCACUGUAUCUGUGGCAUUUCUGGAUCCAAGAUCAGUGUAAACUUCAUCAGUUAUCUUUCUGUGAAGACAAUUGUGCUACAUUUUUGUGGGUGGUUGAGUGCUUUCAUUACAAUAAACUUCAUUAAAAUCCUACUAACAGUUAAAAAGAUUUCUUUUACUUAUGUAAUGAUAGUAUUUUGUAAUUGUUUAUGAGCAGACAUAAAGCAGGUACAUAUAAGUCGAUUUUGUCUGUGUGAAGGGAGUGGGAUUGUACAUGACCAUGCUUAACCAAAUGGAAACAAAAAAUAAGACAGCAUUUAUCAUCUGUCAUUUUACUGAGCUGUGACAUCUUAAGCUAGGUCACACUCACUUGAACUAUGU